AUUGAACGCUGGCGGCAGGCCUAACACAUGCAAGUCGAACGAGUAGCUGACGGGUGUACAGUGUCGGGAACACUGCCCGAUGGAGGGGGAUCACUAGUGGAAACGGUCGCUAAUACCGCAAACAACCGGCUGUGCCCAGGUGGGAUUAGCGAGUAGGUGGGGUAACGGCUCACCUAGGCGACGAUCCCUAGCUGGUCUGCGAGGAUGACCAGCCACACGGGAACUGAGACACGGUCCAGACUCCUACGGGAGGCAGCAGUGGGGAAUAUUUCACAAUGGGCGCAAGCCUGAUGCAGCCAUGCCGCGUGUGUGAAGAAGGCCUUCGGGUUGUAAAGCACUUUCAGCGGGGAGGCGUUACCCGCAGAAGAAGCACCGGCUAACUCCGUGCCAGCAGCCGCGGUAAUAC
rnacentral:rRNA from 1 species